rnacentral:rRNA from 1 species
UGGGGAAUCUUGCGCAAUGGGCGAAAGCCUGACGCAGCCAUGCCGCGUGAAUGAUGAAGGCCUUAGGGUUGUAAAGCUCUUUUAGCGGGGAAGAUAAUGACGGUACCCGCAGAAAAAGCCCCGGCUAACUUCGUGCCAGCAGCCGCGGUAAUACGAAGGGGGCUAGCGUUGCUCGGAAUUACUGGGCGUAAAGCGCACGUAGGCGGACUCUUAAGUCGGUGGUGAAAUCCUGGAGCUCAACUCCAGAACUGCCUUCGAUACUGGGAGUCUUGAGUUCGGGAGAGGUGAGUGGAACUGCGAGUGUAGAGGUGAAAUUCGUAGAUAUUCGCAAGAACACCAGUGGCGAAGGCGGCUCACUGGCCCGAUACUGACGCUGAGGUGCGAAAGCGUGGGGAGCAAACA